GUGUUCCCAAGUUGCCAGUUUACUCACCAUAAGCCACUUGCUUAGUGGGUUAAUCCUCAAGCUGAUUCUUUAUCAUGCAGUAUUACCACCACUCACUAUAAAGAACCUAGAUUUGCUGUAAAAAUAAAUGCUUCUUUAAUCUAGAUAAAGAGUAGGCAUGAGCUGGAAAAUUAUGUUGUUAUAAUGAUUCAGUGCCAAAAAUUCUGCUCUUUUUUGGGAUAUUGAGCCAAAUUUACUGCUCUGUUCUUGAGCAGAAAGAAUUCAUAAUCAAAAUAAAAUUUUAAAAAACCCUCAGAGUUCAAAAUAAAUAAUUUUAAAAGCUUGGAAAGGAGACUGUUUUCAUGAUCUUUAAAUCUUUUCUUUUUGUUUUGUUUGUUUGCCUUUUAUUUUUAAAACACAUUUAACAGUUGGCUUACAUUUGGCCUGCUGACCAAAAUAAAGCAAGCUGGACCCUUGUUGUUUUGGUUCACUUAUUCCUCAGAGGUUCCUGACAGCACCAAUUGAAUAAAAGAGGAUCACAAUGACUUGCACUGUUGGAUUGUGACAAAUAAGCAACCUCUUCAGAAAACAGAUAAGCCACCUAUCUGCUAACCUGUUUGAACAGAUUAAUUUAAAUGUACCAAUAAUUUGAUCUCUGAAUACAAGGGCAAUCAGGAAAUUAAAUGUUACCACAUCACAGCAACAGGGUUUAAACAAAUGAGCUCCUUCCAGAUAUACAUUCUGAGAGGGAUCAAGAUACAACUCUACUUUUUUUACAGCUUGCACAUUUGGGCCUCUGGUCAUCACUCUGACGUUGACAGAUGAGAGAGCUAUAUUUCACUCAGAAAAUUUUCACAGAUACCAUACAGAUAAGAAUACUAGCUUCCAGACUGUUUGGUUCCCAAAAAAGUGAGAUGAGCAAGAGACAGACCAUCAUGGAGAUGGAAUAAAUGGAUAAAUCUUUAAAAAGAAGAAGGAGAAAAAGGAGAAGGAGAAGGAGAAGAAGAAGAAGAAGAAGAAGAAGAAGAAGAAGAAGAAGAAGAAGAAGAAGAAAAAGAAAAAAAGAAAUGUCAGGACUAAUUAUUACAUGUAUUCUUUGACUCAGGGAGAGAAAUUAGGGUGUGUGUUCGUGUGUGUGUGGAAAAGCACACACUCACAAAGACAAAUGAUACUUUAGGACAUCUCUGAAACUCAGAGCCCUACAGAGUGAGACUCAGGGCAUGGUGAAAAGCAGAACUCAGUCUUUAGGAUUCAAGGUCAGGAUACCGCAUUCAAGGAUCAUUCCUCACUUUGCCAUGAGUGGCCUCUCCCUUUUGCCUUCAUAGAGGCAGUCAUUCAUUUUGGAGAUCCAGAGCUAGACUGAUGAUUUCAGCUUUGUUAUUAGGCUAAAUGCUGCUAAGAAUGUAACUGAAAGACAGAGUUUCAGGCCAAAGAAGGUUACAGCCCAAUCCUUUCAUAUUUAAGUGGGAAGUUUGAACAAGGAUAACAUUUUCUGACUGCAUUCCAGGGUUGGAUAAAAGCUGUUGAAAUAGGAAAUGACAUGGAAAUUUGUAGCGAGCCGCCAGAAAAGGAAAACCAGACUGUAUUACUGUACCUGAGAGGGGAAGUGGGUGUGGUGAGUUGGCUCCACACCAUUUUCCUGGGCUCUGGCCUCCUCAAGGAGGGAGCUGGUACCCACCAGUAUAUUCUGUGAAGAAGGAGGGCAGGAUGCUCUGGGAGCCAGCGUGUACAGCGUAAAUGGUCCUGAACUCAAGGCUUGAGAGGAUGUGGGAGCAAACCUUGUGCCUAGAGCUGAAGGAUUGUUCCCUCUCCUCAAACACACAGACACGUGCUCCUAGCACAGACACCAGUUUUGGCUGAGGCUGUCUGCUGCUUGGGAGGUGUCUUUGGCUCUGGAAAUCUCUCAGGGGGCCAAGGUGGGCCUCAGAUGAGAGAAGCAGGGAUUUGGGCUGCUUUAGGCUGGCUCCAGCCUCAACACUGAGACCAGCUGAAGAAACUUUCCAGUUUCCUUCCAGAUCCAUUGAGUCCAGUAUUGUAUAUACUGUAUCACAGGAUCAGUCUUACCAAGGGAGGGAAGGAAGCCAUAUUCAAUAGAAAAGACUAGCUACAUGCAGGUUGUGUAAAGAAGAUACAUAUUCUCUCUUAGUGGAAAGAGUUUGGAGUUUAUAAACUCAGGUAAGGACUCCUAACCUGCAAAUCACUGUGGCCUGGGGUAUACCACCUAACUGACCCGAACUUCAUUGAGUUUCCUCUGAAAAAUGGUGGCUACUGAUCCCUCUCUUACAAAUUACCCUGAAUGGAAUAUCCAAUGCAAAUUCAGUACUAAUGAGCCUGGCAUGUGAAUGAGUGUGCUUGGAUGACAGUGCAUUAAAGUGGAUAGUAUAAUAGUAAUUGGGUCCUUUUUCUAUUAUGUUUUUCCAACAUCGCUAACAAUAUUAAGUUAUAGGAAUGAUGUUAAAGUCAGAGGGGUUCAGGAGGUGAGCAGCCCGAAGGUAUAAGGAGCGAGCAAGAGGAGCAAAGCAAUUGGUUUUAAACUUCUGACCUCUUACAGCUUCACCACUAGAAGCCAGGGUUGUGUUUUACUCAUUUUUGUCUCUUGAGUAGCUGGCACGGAACAGCCCAGGCUUAGUAGAGAGUGAGUAAAUGUUCACUGAGUUACAGAAUGAACAAAAAAGGAAGUCUUAUUUGAUAUGUAUUUCUUGUUACUAAUACAUGGGCUCUGUCGCAUUUCAUGUCAUGUGAACAGAAGUAAAAUCAAUCAUAGUUCAGUGUUAGAAUAUGUGAAAAAUGAAGACUUGAGUGAUGAAUUGUUUGGAAUAAGAACUCUCAGGCCUGGAUGCCAGCUUAGGAUCCCAGCUGUGCAUGUCCUUGGGCAAUGCAUUUGACCUUGCUGUGUCCUGUAGCUCCCUCAGCUAUAUCCUGGGGGAUAGGGGGUGGGGGGUAACUAUGGUACUUAACCUUCCAGGUCUUUGGGAGGAAUAAAGGUAUUACUCUCUCUGUAUUGCAUAAAACAGUGUCUGAUGUGUAGCAAGUGCUAAAUAAAUGCUAGUGGUUGUUAUUUUAAACUUUAGCGUAUGGCAUUCUGUAUAAUAUUUACCCAUAAUAACACCUAGACAUUUUUCCAGCUAUUAUUCUUAAAAAUUUUAAAGCUAUCAAGCAAUCGGUCAACGUAAUAAAUUUCCCAGUAAAAACUUAAGUAUAAAUUAAUGAGUAGCCUUAAAACAGCUACAUUUGUAGCUUUGUUACACAUUCAUGAAGCCAACUUGAAAAUGAUUGCCAGCCCCUGGUUAUCAGAGAAAAUUCAAUUCCAAAAUAAAAUCAUCUUAUUUUUCCCCACCACAGAGUAUAAUGAUAGUCUUCCCCCCCCCCGCCCCCCCCUUUUCAUCCAGUUUGAUUGCAGUCUUCUGGAGUUUUAUCUGACUCUCCUCUUGGGUGGAUCCUGAGAGCUAGUCUUGAGUCAUGAGUUCCAAACCAAGCUUUCCAGUUGAGUCUGUUUACAGUAAUAAGACUGAUAGUUUGACACUUAGAGGAAAAGGCACAUGUUUGCCUUUCUUUCUAUGGAGACAGAGACUCUGGGUGCUCAGUGGAAAGAAACAGUUUACAAAGACAAAGGAGUUUAAAACUGAGGUACAUUUGUGACUGGGAGAUAAGUUUGGGGUGACUGGAACAAAUGGAAGAUGAGGCCAAGAUUAUUUCUGAAGAGACUUCUGACUCUUUAUGUGACAUCAGCAACACAAAGAGGAAAAGACAAAUGCUCCCCUGGACACCUAUUCUGGGUGUUAUUUGGAAUGUAGUUGCAUCUCAGUAAGAAGUGGAGUGGCUAGAUCUCCUUAACCCGUAACCAGGUCCAUAAGCACAAACUCCAAGGAUUCCUGAGAGAAAACAGGUGGGGGUGGGAGGACCACCCCAAUCCAACAAGGGAAGCCCCAAGCAGCUGGGAGGAGGCGGCUUAAAGACCCCUGCAGUGAAUCCUUGCCUCCCUCCUUGAGGAGAGAGCUGGUGUCCAUUUUCUGAUCAGUGUUGGGAUGGAGACUCUUGAAGGGAAAGAUAUAUCUUGCUCUGAGUGCAAAUACUUGCCCCCUAGCUCUUUAUCUUUUGGGUGCCCAAAUAUAUACCAAGAGAUUCCGCCCCUAGACCUGGCUGGCUUCAAACCCAGAGUUAUUAAGAAAACUCCUUGCUGUUCUUGGAAAAUACUUUCUGAUCUAACCACUGGUGCUUGAAAUUGCUUAAGUACAGAUGCAGUUAUUAAUCUUUUUAGUUUAAGAAAUUUUAAUAUAAAUCUUACAACCUAAAGAUAAUCCUGGAAUCCUUCCACCCCACCCCCCAGCCUCAACUAGAUAGAAGUUGUUGGUUUAAUGGAAAGAAAGUGCACUGGCUUUGGAAUGAAACUGACUUGGCUUUGAAACCUAGUCACACCACUAACUGGUUCUUUGUCCAAUUUAAUCUUUCUCAGAUUCAGUUUCCUUAUGUACGAAAUAAAAAUAGUCAUACCUUCUUAAGUUUUUUGCUUGUUUGGUUUUGGUGAAGAUAAGCUAUUUUUACGUAGCCCAAGGAUCACCCAGUAGAAUGCCUGGCACAUAAUAACCACUCAAUAAAUAUCAUAAAUAAGAGUCUUGAGAUCAGGUGAAACAUUUCAUGAUCCCACCACUAAUUUUUUUGAGAAGGUUAGAUACUAUGGUCCAUAACUUUUCUGUGGGGCUGUUGGAGAAAAUAAACAAAUUCUCCUGAAUUGUUUUCCAGGCUGGCCUGGAGCCUUGGCUGGCAACCAUCACUUUCCUCGAUCCUGUGCUCAGGCUGUAGCAAGUUCUUAGUGAAUAGAGCAGAGGUCCUGGGCGUCAUGGGCAGUGCUCCACUGACAUUUUAGGCUGCAUCCCUGGCUUCUCCCCAAUGCUGCCUUAAAAUUACACACACACACACACAUGCACAAGUUGACAUGAAAUAAUUAAAUAAAAUGCCUCAGAGAACCAAAAUGCUGCCAGCGGCCCACCUCCUCCAUCCCACCCUCCCCCCAGUACUUUUAUUUUAGAAACCUCUUUCAUUGUCUUCUUGUGUCCCAUAUUUCUGGUUUUCACCACUUGGCCGUUGACUCCGGCAUCCGAUCCAUUAUUUCUAUGUUAAUGAUCCACAGAAUCCUGGUAGAUAGUAAUUACACAUUGUUAACUGUAGGGUUGUGUGACACCUGCAGUGUGUGGUGGAAAGUUCUGGGGACAGUGCUGCUCUAGCCCCUCCUGUACCUGUUUCUGGUCUUAGAUUUUACUGACUUAUCCAUCCUGCAUUAGAAAUAUCAGGUCACCAGGACAAACCCCUGGAGUUCUUUCAGCAAGGGAUAGUUUGCUGGAGGGAAAGGCUGGCCACAAUCUGGAAUGUUUUUGUUAAGUGCCUGCUUGAACUCAAUAGUGAAUACCCUCAACUGCAGAAAAGUCGGGGUAGCUAUAUAUCUGUCAGAAAUCAUUUUAUUCCCCCCAGUCAGCUCCAAAUCUCCUCUCUGUUUCCUGAAAAAUUCUCCAAAGAUAUAUUCAUGAGAGCCCACUUUCAUGGAGUGUUUUAUGCCCUGGUUUACAAAAUGCAUUUAUGUAGUUAUGGAAAUACCAUGGGGCUUUGGAUUCAGGCCUCAGUUUAAAUCCUAGGUCUGUCUGCCUUAAGUAGUCACAUGAACUUAAACACACUAGCAAAUUAAUAUUUCUGAGCAUCAGUUGUCUUGUUUCAAAUGGAUGUGCUGUGUGGUUGAACUAUUAAAUGACUUAACAUAAACAAGACAUCCAACAAGAAACAUUAAAUAUUAGCUCCUUAUCAUUUCUUCCAUAUCAUUCCCUUCAUUCGUUCACACUAGUUUUGUAAAAUGUGCAUGAGUGCGUGCACACACACACACACACACAUGCACAAGUUGACAUGAAAUAAUUAAAUAAAAUGCCUCAGAGAACCAAAAACUCUUUCUGAAAACCAUCUUCUUCCUGGCAGAGGGCAAACGGGUCUAUAAAGUAUCUUCUAUUGGAAAAAAGGGCAUUUGCUUCCCUAUCGUUUCUGGUUUUCACCACUUCACAAGUCCAUUAUUGGCACAAAUGAAGGCAAUGGCAAACAGAGACAGAGAGAUUUGCAGCAGUAACAGUACAUUAUGCAAUUUCAAGGCUGGAUGUUAGGUGUUGGAAAUUUAAUGUAGGGGUCAGAGAAGACCUCUUACAGAAGCUGCCUUUGCCAGGCUUGUGAAGGGUCAUAGGGCAUUCCCUGCAGCAUCCAACUGCAGGAUUCAGGGUCAUUACUGAUGACAGUGACUGUACCAUCUCAGGGGUACAAUCCCUUCUACUUAAGUCUGAGAGGAAAUGAGGUGGAGCCCUGUUAUUUUGAAAAUCUUACCUGUCCGAAUUCAUAAGCAUAUGCAAAGACAUUUGCCAAAGGGAUAGGAUAAUUUCAGAGAAAUAGUCUAAUAUAGGAGAAACAAAGAUUAUGGCUCUAGCUAACUAUAUUUUUUCUUUUAUCUCAGAGGAAAGAUAAACCCUAGGUCUUUGCAAGAAGAAGGCCUGCUUAGGAGUUCCCUACAUUCCCAACCAGGCCCUCCUGCCUUAAGAGUUCAUGAAUUUCCAAAGCAGUGGUGUUUGAUUGGCGAAGCUGAUUCUCUCUCUUGUCAAGGUGUGGUACUCAAGGAAAAGAGUAUGUGGUGCAUCUGCAGUUGGCUGAGAAUUUGAUAAACUGCUUCACAGAGUUCCAAGAUAAAGGAAAUCAAAGCAGAGAAACCAGGAGUAAAAACCUAUUGAAUUUCACAUGAUUAUGUCAACUUUGUCUCUCUCUCUGAAUCAGUUGAAACUUUGAAAGGAACUUUGAGACAUAAAUAACUUUAAUUUGUUCUCCACUUCUGCUCCAUUUUAGUAUGGAAUCGUUUUUGAUGAAUACUUCACCCAGACUGAUUGAUUUAUUUCUAAUAAAAGAGGAAUGGGUGGGACUUAUGCUCAUUCAUGCAUUCAUUAAUUUUUUCUCUUGUAACACAAAAACAAAACAGUUUCUGAAUUACAAGAUUUUAGUGUUGAUAUUGUCUGAUUUAACAGAUUUUCCUGUAUGUAUUUUCUUGGGUUUUUAUGAGAUAUAAUGUAUAUAUAAUAAAUUACCCCUCUAUAAAUGUACAGUUUGAUAUUGGCAAUUGUAUAUAGUCAUGCAAUCAAUGUCAUAAUCAAGUAUCUUCCAUUACUUCAAAAUGUUCUCUUUUGCCACUUUUGUAGUCCCUAUGCCCCUCAACCUCUGGUUGCCGGCAGCCACUGUUCUGCAUUCUUAUCACCUUCCUGUCUGGCUUCUUUCACUUAGUGUAACUCUUUUGUGAUUCAUCCAUUUGGGUGUGUGUAUUUGUAGUUUCAUUUUAUGACUGAAUACAGUGCAUAGUAUGGAUAUGUCACAGUUUCUUUUUUGUGCUAAAUGACAUUCAUGUUGUUUCUAUUUUGGGGUUAUCAGUAAUGCUUGCUGCUAAGAAACAUUCAUGUAUGUGAAUUAUUUGACGUUUAUUUGUCUUGAAUAAAUGUCUUUGAUGAGGGGUGUUGGGUCAUAACAUAAGUAAAGAUUUAACUUUGUAAAAA